UACGGGGGGGGCAAGCGUUGUUCGGAAUUACUGGGCGUAAAGGGCUCGUAGGCGGCCAACUAAGUCAUACGUGAAAUCCCUAGGCUUAACCGUGGAACUGCGUCUGAUACUGGAUGGCUUGAGUUCGGGAGAGGGAUGCGGAAUUCCAGGUGUAGCGGUGAAAUGCGUAGAGAUGCGGAGGAACACCGAUGGCGAAGGCAGCCCCCUGGGUAGACACUGACGCUCAGGCGCGAAAGCGUGGGGAGCAAACAGG
rnacentral:rRNA from 1 species